AAUUUAUACGUAAUAAAGAUAGUAGAGAUGAAAGUCAUCGAUGAGUCAGGAUGAAUAAUACGUAAAUGAAAAUUAAGAUUUUUUUCAAGAAAGUUUGCAACUAAUUGUAAAAGGAUUACGGUAAUGACGAGGAAGUACAGGCAUGUGCUAUGGGAUCCCUGGUAAUGGAAGUCUGCACCUAUCUUCUAGUUUGGUCGAGGAAUAGUAUAAGGGAAAAA